rnacentral:misc_RNA from 1 species
GCCCUAACCGGUCCAGCCCGCCAUCGAGCGCGCCCUGCAUGGCGAGGAUGGCCUCCAGUGUUCCCUCCGGCGUCUCGCCAUAACGGGCAUAGGGAACGCACUCACCGCGCCCGACAAUGGCCUUACCAUCACGGUUUUGGCGACUUACCUCGGCCACAAUCACAACGGCUUCUGUCUUGGCGCCCCGGCUGAUGGUGAAGCCGCCGG